AACACACUGAGAACAUAUUACCGUGGACUGCUCCGCUCGAGAGAAAUACCAGCACAUGAUAAAAGACAUAAUAAGAGAGUCUGUCAACCCGUUCAAGGUGAGAUGUCCCGUGGACAACGUUGAAUUUAAACCGAACAAGGAGGUGAGAUGCAGACACCGGAAAUGUGUGCGUAGUGUUGAAAUAGUUUGAACACACUGAGACAUACACCGUGGACUGCUCCGCUCGAGAGAAAUACUCAGCACAUGAUAAAGACAUAAUAAGAUAUGUCAGCGUUCAGAGAUGAUAUCAUGUUUGAGGCAACGCUGGACCAUAAGUUUGUCUGCCCAGUAUGCCUGACAUUACUAUGGGAGCCAGUACAGACUAUAUGUGGUCAUAGGUACUGCAAGGCAUGCCUCCAGCGCGUUAUUAGGAGUCUGUCAACAAACACCGUUCAAGGUGAGAUGUCCGUGUGAAAUCGUUGAAUUUAAGACCG